UCCUGAAUGUGUCAUGCUAGCUUGCUUGUUUGUUAGCGUUAGCUUGUAAAUGAAUCUUCAUUAGAGGGCAAUAUAUGAUAACAAGGAUACAAAAAUGCUCCAGUACAUCAGAACAGAGCCAGGACAAAAAGGAAUUUAAAAUAUGCUGAUGGAACCCUCCUACAAGACCCUGAUUGUUGGGGAACAUGAGCAGAGUUUUGCUGAGGGCCUGACAGGUGCUUGACCUCUGCUGACCUGACCUGACCUUGGAGGCAGGACGUAAAGUGAAUGCAGUCAAGUGAAUUGCAUGAUCAUCACCGCCUGCUUUUGCUCCAAAGCUAUGGCAGCAGUGCAGUGGAGUGGAAGGUGGACCUACAUUCCUUUGCUCUAUUCAUGCUCCACAGGUUUGAAAUCACAUGAUCCCUCCCAGUCUACUGUAAUAACCACUUUAGAUUGAUUCAUAAAGACAGAGACAUUAAU